GGAGCCCUUGCCCCCUCUGUCUUCUUCCCCAGUGAGCCGUCACCGUCACCGCACCGUUCUGACCCGUGACCGCGUCGCCUUCCUCCUCUGUGUCCUCUUCCUUCUCUUGUCCCCGAGCGCUGCCUCGUCUCCUUGAGCUCUACGCCUCGUCUGCGCCCUCACUCGUCGCUUUGCCACCCCUCCCCAUGACCCUUGGCCGCGCGUGCCCGUCGCCGGAGCACGGACACGCCGCGCGCGUGCCACCUCACCCCCCUCAUCGUUCGGCUAUAAAUAGCCCGUCCCCGAGAACUCUGAGCUCACCAGCCUCUUCCUCACCCUCCCAGCAACCUUCCCGACCCAUCUGUUCGACUCCAGAGCCCCUCCUCACCGCAGUUGGCCGCCAGGGCCGCCGAUCCCCUCCGCCUAAAUUGGCGCAACACUGGCCCCGUCUCUCCACCCCUCCACCACCAGAGCAUCUCUAGGAGUCCACCCAAUCACCUCCGCCCUUCUCCUUCCCUUCCGGUGCGCGGUGGCCGCGAGCCCCUCGGUGCCCGAGGCCGUCGUCCGCCGCGGUCGACGUCCCUCUUGGCUCGAUGCUCCCCGGCGUCUUCUACCACCAGGAAGGGAUCCGCCUCGUCACGCUGAGCUCGUCGGUAGGUCGCGCGCCCCGUAUGGUGGCCGGGAUCGCCGGCGAGCGUCGUCGGGGUGCGCUCCCCUGCUCGGCCCGGUGCGUCUAGGCGGGAGGAAGAAGAAGGCCGGCUAGGUGGGCCCCACCUUCCGCGAGGCCCACCCGUCAGCUGCACGAGGGGUUCACCCAGGGCGUUGACGUGGAUAAGUGGCCGUGCACUUCCCAAAAUACUCUUUCACCAAACCGAAAGCGUAUUUCCCUCUGCUUCAGCUCCAAGUAUGUUUUCGUUAUUCUGAAAGCGUAUUCCCUUCUGUUUCAGACAAAAAUACGUUUUCUUUGUCAGAAUGCGUGUUUCUAAUUUUCCGCCUCUGUCUUAUCCACUCAGGGACCCGGCUGUGAAUAUUAUUUUUACAGAAAAGUCCCUGAUGUUCCAACCCUCAUAUCUCCGCAACCGUAACUCCGAAUGAGGUGAAACCAAGGCUCACUUCUUUGUCUCUUCGAGCCCAAACUUUUGGUGCCAUUUUCACUAUGGUUUGACAUACUGGAAAUGACCAUUUUUUCCUUGUCCCAAAUCAGCCCCCUCCGAGAGAACCCUUUCCGGCGAUUCUUUCCGCAGCUUCACCGCACAUCUUUCCGGAGUAUUCUUCAUCCCCAGGCAAGCCACAACCACCAUUUGCAUGAUAGCCAUGCAGAAGCAUUGGUUUCCAACUUGAAUCUUUAAUAACUGUUUGAUUGUUUUGCUACUCCUGUCGUUAUUUCGGUUAUGCUUAUGGAUCGGUGUUUACCGGGAUGUUAUGUUUUCUUGCACUCUGUUAUUUUGUUCCUCAUGCUAGUAUUAUAUUGGCCAUGCUUGGUAAUAGUACAUGUUGGUGAUGGUCUUCGGUGCAUGACUAUCGUCUGUCCCGAGUACCGUUGUUAUGCAUGUUCCUUUGCACCUAGUUGGUUAAAUGCUUGCAUGGUAGUUUUCGUUAUGUUAUUGCAUGGUAGUUUAUCGUUAUGUUAUUGCAUGGUAUUUAUUGUUGAUGCUAGUGGUCAUGUUAUGCUAUGAGUAGUGUUCUAGUUGUGAUAUUCAUGCUCAUCAGUAUGCCAUGCUCAUCUGGAUAAAUGAUUAAAUGUUGUUGUUAUGCUCAUUGAUUAUGUUGCACCUCCAUGCUUAUUUUGGUAUCAUGUUCAUGCAUUGUAGUUGCAUCAUGUUAUUUUAUCAUGGCUCAGCAUAUUGCAUUCAAGUUUAACCAGAUUAAAUUGAACUUGAAGAGCUGUUGGCUGAGUCAUGGUGCCACCAUAUCGAUCUGACCAGUGCAACCACGCUUACCCUAUGGGGGGGUCCUAACUGGGUCUAUUGUCAUGCCUCUCACCGGUGCCUCCCGCGAGGGAAGGUUAUGCGCGGGCGCUACCCUGAUCAGGUAGGACGGCAUAAGCCUUGUGUGCCCGUUGUUGAGUAUGGAUCAUUGUCCCCGUUUGGGACCGUUUUGCCACGACGGUGGCCGUUGGUGCCUUUGGUAGGCACGGGGCCACCCAGGACUUAGCCCAAAGGGGAGUUGGUCGGAGUGGCUGGGAGGGUGUCAUGGCAGUAGGACGGUUUUGUCGAAAUGCUUUGGUCCACCCGAAUGGGAGUGCGAGGCCAGGGUUCCAUGGUGUGGGUACAGUGUGCUAACCUCUGUAGAGUGUGUGUGUUAAAUCUAUCGAUAGCCGCGCCCGCGGAUAUGGGCCCAGUUCGUGUUGGUCACACUAUGGGUUAACAGUAAUAAUAAUAAUGAUGUGCUUAAUAACAACCUUGGUUCGAUGAUGAAAGAAGUUGGUUGAUAUUUAUGUGAUCGUGAGAGGAUCACUGUAGUAUCGUGAAUACCAACUUGUUGGAUAUUUGGAAUGUUAUGUGAGAGUCAAGGGUAAGGGUCAAGCUCCUUGUGAUCAUAAAUGAUUGCUACGGUAUUGUUAAUACCAAGCUUGAUUGGAUCCUGAGAUGAUUGUGUGAUAUCCGUGAUGGUAAGUGAUACAGGUGAUGGUUACGAGGUAACCCGAGCAGAGUAAGUUGGUGCAUGAUAGUUUCAUCAUGUUGCAUGCUAGUAUUAUCAUGUUCAUAUAUUUAUGUCAUGCGCGUAUUGUUCUAGCCGUAUCAUCUUGCCCAUGCUAUGAUUGAUCUGAUAAUAUCAUGUUAAUCCUUAUUAACCCGUAAUUGCCUGCUAUUGUUUGUCUUGAUUGCUUUGGUUGCUGUGAGCUUGCAAGUACAUUCAAUGUACUGACCUGGCGUGUCAUGCCAGUUUGCAGGUCAUGCCGAAUAUGAUUGCUUGUUUGCCGUGGAUUCCUUGUUUGCGAGCUAGGAUAAGCGUUCCAGCCAGAGUCCCUGCGGAGUGGAGUUCACCACCGCCGACGUUGUUCCGCUGCCAGUAGUCAUUCCGCUGCGUCGAGUUGUUCUGCUGCUUGCAUAGAUCAACCGUGGCACGCGUAGUGUCGCCGUGCCGAUGUAAUCCCCUUGUAACCAAUAUAGCUUGUAAUAAAAAG
rnacentral:lncRNA from 1 species